GACGAACGCUGGCGGCGUGCCUAAUACAUGCAAGUCGAGCGCAGAAGCUUGGUACUUGUUCCUAUUGGAUUAGCAGCGAACGGGUGAGUAACGCGUGGGGAACCUGCCUUUGAGCGGGGGACAACUUCGGGAAACGAAUGCUAAUACCGCAUAAAAACUUUAAACACAAGUUUUAAGAUUGAAAGAUGCAAUUGCAUUACCCAAUGAUGAUCUCGCGUUGUAUUUGCUUGUUGGUGAGGUAAAGGCUCAACAAAGCGAUCAUACAUAGCCGACCUGGGAGGGGGAUCGGCCAAAUUGGGACUGGGACCAGGGCCAAACUCCUAAGGGGAGCAACAGUAGGGGAUCUUCGGCCAUGGGCGAAAGUCUGAACGGGCAAAGCCGGGGGGAGGAAGGAGGGCUUCGGAUCGUAAAAAUCUGUUGAUAGGGAAAGAAGUUAGGGGGAGUGGAAAGUUCAUGAAGUGACGGUAACUACUCAGAAAGCGACGGCUAACUACGUG
rnacentral:rRNA from 1 species